GAUGAACGCUGGCGGCGUGCCUAAUACAUGCAAGUCGAGCGAAGCGGGGACGGGUGAGUAACACGUGGAUAACCUCCUAUAAGACUGGGAUAAAUUCGGGAAACCGGAGCUAAACCGGAUACUUAGAGAUGGAUCCGCGCUGCAUUAGCUAGUUGGUAAGGUAACGGCUUACCAAGGCAACGAUGCAUAGCCGACCUGAGAGGUUGACCGGCCACACUGGAACUGAGACACAGUCCAGACUCCUACGGGAGGCAGCAGUAGGGAAUCUUCCGCAAUGGGCGAAAGCCUGACGGAGCAACGCCGCGUGAGUGAUGAAGGUCUUCGGGUCGUAAAACUCUGUUAGUAGGGAAGCGGUACCCAAUCAGGAAGCCCCGGCUAACUCCGUGCCAGCAGCCGCGGUAAUUC
rnacentral:rRNA from 1 species